GGAUGAACGCUGGCGGUAUGCUUUACACAUGCAAGUCGUACGGGAGUUAUUCGUAACUCAAGUGGCGGACGGGUGAGGAACACGUAAGAAUUUGCCUUUAGGAGGGGGAUAACAACUGGAAACGGUUGCUAAUACCCCAUAUGCUUUCGAGUGAAAUGGUUUUUUCCGCCUAGAGAGAAGCUUGCGGCUGAUUAGCUUGUUGGUAAGGUAAUGGCUUACCAAGGCGACGAUCAGUAUCUGGUUUGAGAGGACGAUCAGACACACUGGAACUGAGACACGGUCCAGACUCCUACGGGAGGCAGCAGUGGGGAAUUUUCCGCAAUGGGCGAAAGCCUGACGGAGCAAUACCGCGUGAGGGAUGACGGCCUAUGGGUUGUAAACCUCUUUUUUCAGGGAGGAAGAAAUGACGUGUACCUGAAGAAUAAGCAUCGGCUAACUCCGUGCCAGCAGCCGCGGUAAGACGGAGGAUGCAAGUGUUAUCCGGAAUCACUGGGCGUAAAGCGUCUGUAGGUGGUCUAAUAAGUCAAUUGUUAAAUCUUGAGGCUCAACCUCAAACUCGCAGUCGAAACUAUUAGACUAGAGUAUAGUAGGGGUAAAGGGAAUUUCCAGUGGAGCGGUGAAAUGCGUAGAGAUUGGAAAGAACACCGAUGGCGAAGGCACUUUACUGGGCUAUUACUAACACUCAGGGACGAAAGCUAGGGCAGCAAAUGGGAUUAGAUACCCCAGUAGUCCUAGCUGUAAACAAUGGAUACUAGAUGUUGGACAGAUCGACCUGUGCAGUAUCAAAGCUAACGCGUUAA
rnacentral:rRNA from 1 species